AUUACCUGUAAACUCUCUUCAAGUUGUGCGACAUUAUCUCAUCAAUCGACGGAACGGUGGCUGACAAUUACGAUGGUACUUUUGAGAAUCUGGAUUUCGACGAAGGUUUGGAACAGAUCCUUAAAGAGCUAUUUGACGAGGCGCAA